AUGUGUUCUAAAUAUGUUAAAAAUAUGAUACUUGCUUCUAAAAUUGUGAAAAAUUCAAAUUAGGUUGAUUUAUGUGUGAGAAGAAUUUAGAAUAUUUUUGUGCAAUUUUUGGAGCUAUGGAAUUUGAGAAAUGGGAUUUAUACAAAAUAUCCAAAAUAACUUUAUUUAAAAACCUAGAACUAAGUUUUAAUUGGUAGUUCAAAUUCUAUUUAGAAUUUGGUCUUACCUAUUAAAGCAAAGUUGUAGAGUUUUUAGUUUGGCAUCACUUUGCUUUUGGGUGAAAAUGGUGAAAAGGAUUUGAAAAUGGUCAAAAUGCUUUUGGAAGAGGAUUUAAGAAAAGAAAAUUUAAAAAAAAAUGGAAAAGGGAAAAGGGGGCGC
rnacentral:lncRNA from 1 species